rnacentral:lncRNA from 1 species
AGUGAGAUUUACAAGAUGCGUAUCCACCUGCAAUUAUUUUCCAGAAAGAUGCCAGUUUGGAGACAUGUGCCAUCAAACUUGCCGUAAACAUGCAAUGUUGUUCCACUUACGUUCUUAGCAAAACGCUCUUUUAUUC